rnacentral:rRNA from 1 species
UCUUCACGGAUGCUGGCGUAAUGGUUUUCAGCGACCCGUCUUGAAACACGGACCAAGGAGUCGUCCUGCUAUGCGAGUGUUUGGGUGUUAAACCCCUACGCGAAAUGAAAGUGAACGGAGGUGAGAGCUUCGGCGCAUCAUCGACCGAUCCUGAUGUUCUCGGAUGGAUUUGAGUAAGAGCAUACCGGGCCGGACCCGAAAGAAGGUGAACUAUGCUUGGAUAGGGCGAAGCCAGAGGAAACUCUGGUGGAGGCUCGCAGCGGUUCUGACGUGCAAAUCGAUCGUCAAAUCUGAGCAUGGGGGCGAAAGACUAAUCGAACCUUCUAGUAGCUGGUUUCCACCGAAGUUUCCCUCAGGAUAGCAGUGCUGAUU